AUUGAACGCUGGCGGCAGGCCUAACACAUGCAAGUCGAGCGAGCGGCGGACGGGUGAGUAAUGUGUGGGAAACUGCCUGAUGGAGGGGGAUAACUACUGGAAACGGUGGAUCAUACAGCAUACCAUCAGAUGUGCGCAGAUGGGAGUAGCUAGUAGGUGGGGUAACGGCUCACCUAGGCGACGAUCCCUAGCUGGUCUGAGAGGAUGACCAGCCACACUGGAACUGAGAAACGGUCCAGACUCCUACGGGAGGCAGCAGUGGGGAAUAUUGCACAAUGGGCGCAAGCCUGAUGCAGCCAUGCCGCGUGUAUGAAGAAGGCCUUCGGGUUGUAAAGCACUUUCAGCGGGGAGGCGUUACCCGCAGAAGAAGCACCGGCUAACUCCGUGCCAGCAGCCGCGGUAAUUC
rnacentral:rRNA from 1 species